rnacentral:lncRNA from 1 species
CUUACAUAUAUGUUAUGGGGGAUUGAGUUCAAGGGGGUAAGUUGUAUCUCUCCUUUCAUACUUGUGAAAAUAGACUAGGAACCCAUAGCCAAGGUGAUUACUACUUAAUGAGGAAGACACAACUGAUAAACCUUAAUUUCCCUAGAGAUAUAACCCCACUGGAGCUUCAUUUCUAAAAUGCUGUGUCAAGUGGAUAAGUCAAAAGCUUUGUCAACAAGAAACUGCACAUCCUGGGCAGGCUGGUGCUUGGGGC